rnacentral:rRNA from 1 species
CGAGCGGCAGCACGGGGAGCUUGCUCCCUGGUGGCGAGCGGCGGAGGGGUGAGUAAUGCAUAGGAAUCUGCCCGGUAGUGGGGGAUAACGUGGGGAAACCCACGCUAAUACCGCAUACGUCCUACGGGAGAAAGCGGAGGAUCUUCGGACUUCGCGCUAUCGGAUGAGCCUAUGUCGGAUUAGCUAGUUGGUAAGGUAACGGCUUACCAAGGCAACGAUCCGUAGCUGGUCUGAGAGGAUGAUCAGCCACACUGGGACUGAGACACGGCCCACACUCCUACGGGAGGCAGCAGUGGGGAAUAUUGGACAAUGGGCGAAAGCCUGAUCCAGCCAUGCCGCGUGUGUGAAGAAGGCUUUCGGGUUGUAAAGCACUUUCAGCGAGGAAGAAAGCCUCUGGGUUAAUACCC